GUUCCUUGGUUGGCAGGCACCUACAUAUGUGACUACCUACAGCCAUCUGAGACUCUUGAGGUUCUAAAAGAUCAUUGUGUUGAGUUGAUGUCCAUGGAAGGUCCAACUGAUGCUUCAACAAUAUUAAAACCUGAAAUAGAAGCCCCAUCUUUGGUCACUAAGUCCUUCUGGGAUGUGGCAGCUCCGUUUUAAUCAGCAUCUAGCUCUCCUUUUGGAGAUGACAUGGGGGAGGGAAGUAGAACAGAACCUACUAAGUCGGAUAAUGCCAGCAUCAUGGGUGUUGUUCUCUUCAUUCUACUUUCUAUGUUACUGGGGUAUGUGAUUUAUGCGCUUAGGGGAUCUGGAUAACAGUCAAUCCUCAGUUAAAAUGUCAAAUAAGUUAGUUUUCGUUGGCUGAAAAUCAAUCGCUAAGGUAAAUUUAUUUGUUCACAAGCAGUGUGGGAAAGGUUUGCUCAGAAACCAAAAAACAAAAAAACGUGUGGAAAAGGUGUGGAAAAAAAAAGUGUGGAAAAAGUGUUGUGGAAAACGUUUAUUCAUUGAUUAAUGAUUAAUUAUUUGUCCCCAUUCCGUCUUUGUUGAAUUA